CAUAACAUCAACAUUUCACACACAUAAGAUUUAAUAUAUAUACAUGUCCAUGAUUCAUCAUUGCAAGUGAAAGACAUCCUCCAAGUCAACAAAGACCAACAUGAAAUCCUUUGGCAGUUUAAUCAUUGUUGUUAUCUUUGCCAUUACAUUGAUCCUUUCAAUUGGGGUGAAGUUGUCCCAAGCUAGGACUUACCCUUCUUCAUCAAUGUCUCCAUCCUCUCAAUUUCUCUCACAUUGGGAUAAAGAAAGGAAAAAAUCAACUCAUCAAGAGGCUGUGGUAGCUGCUAGCCUUAGAAGGAUACCACCUACCAGACCAAAUCCUACAGGGAACAAGUUAAAGCCUGGGGUACAGAGCUAAGUGCAUGCUUGAAAGUUCUUUGAUUCUGAAGUCAAAAUCAAUUUUAGCGAGAAACUUUGUGAGUCUGCGUGCGAGAAUUGAUUUUGAAGAGAACGAAGUUAAUCGAAACAUGCUAGAAGCUGAGGAGCCAGUAGCACAUGGAGCCCUGAAGAUUCAGACUAAAGCAUGAACUCUGUUGCUCUAGUACUUUUUGUUUUUAUGUUUUUUUGUUUAGUCUUUCUCAGCUUCAAAUUCUUAGGCUUAUUAGUGAGGUGUGAUAUAGUUGAGUUUAGAUUGCACUUUAUUUUCUCUUACCUUUCGAUGUUUUAGAUCAUAGAGAGUAUAGUAGGCAAUGAUUGUAAAGGAGAAACAUAGUAUCCAUCAAAAUGACAAACUGAAAACUGUUUUUGGCACAAGAUUGAAAUUCAUUUCUUUUCUAGUUUUCUU